UCAUAUGCUUGUCUCAAAGAUUAAGCCAUGCAUGUCUAAGUAUAAGCAAUUAUACCGUGAAACUGCGAAUGGCUCAUUAAAUCAGUUAUCGUUUAUUUGAUAGUACCUUACUACUUGGAUAACCGUGGUAAUUCUAGAGCUAAUACAUGCUAAAAACCCCGACUUCGGGAGGGGUGUAUUUAUUAGAUAAAAAACCAAUGCCCUUCGGGGCUCUUUGGUGAUUCAUGAUAACUUAACGGAUCGCAUGGCCUUGCGCCGGCGACGGUUCAUUCAAAUUUCUGCCCUAUCAACUUUCGAUGGUAAGGUAUUGGCUUACCAUGGUUUCAACGGGUAACGGGGAAUUAGGGUUCGAUUCCGGAGAGGGAGCCUGAGAAACGGCUACCACAUCCAAGGAAGGCAGCAGGCGCGCAAAUUACCCAAUCCCGACACGGGGAGGUAGUGACAAUAAAUACUGAUACAGGGCUCUUUUGGGUCUCGUAAUUGGAAUGAGUACAAUCUAAAUCCCUUAACGAGGAACAAUUGGAGGGCAAGUCUGGUGCCAGCAG
rnacentral:rRNA from 1 species